rnacentral:rRNA from 1 species
UACGGAGGGUGCGAGCGUUGUCCGGAAUCACUGGGCGUAAAGGGCGCGUAGGCGGCUCAUGAAGGCUGUGGUGAAAGUCCGGGGCUCAACCUCGGAUCGGCCGUGGCGACUCGUGGGCUGGAGCACUGUAGAGGCGGGUGGAAUUCCGGGUGUAGCGGUGGAAUGCGUAGAUAUCGGAAGGAACACCGGUGGCGAAGGCGGCUGCCUGGCCUGAUACUGACACUGAGGCACGAAAGCGUGGGGAGCAAACAGG